AACGAACGCUGGCGGCAUGCCUAACACAUGCAAGUCGAACGAUGCCUUCGGGCAUAGUGGCGCACGGGUGCGUAACGCGUGGGAAUCUGCCUUUCGGUUCGGAAUAACUCAGGGAAACUUGAGCUAAUACCGGAUAACGUCGCAAGACCAAAGAUUUAUCACCGAAAGAUGAGCCCGCGUAGGAUUAGCUAGUUGGUGAGGUAAAGGCUCACCAAGGCGACGAUCCUUAGCUGGUCUGAGAGGAUGAUCAGCCACACUAGGACUGAGACACGGCCCAGACUCCUACGGGAGGCAGCAGUGGGGAAUAUUGGACAAUGGGCGAAAGCCUGAUCCAGCAAUGCCGCGUGAGUGAUGAAGGCCUUAGGGUUGUAAAGCUCUUUUACCCGGGAAGAUAAUGACGGUACCGGGAGAAUAAGCCCCGGCUAACUCCGUG
rnacentral:rRNA from 1 species